AUACCUGUGUCAGGUAGGCAGUGUAUUUUUAGCUGGCUGCUUGUUAUUAAGUUCAGCAGUCGCUGAUAUACUGCCACUUGCUCCAGGAACA